CCCCUGGAGGCCUCUGUACCCCACU
rnacentral:miRNA from 1 species